AUGGCAGAAGUUUGUACUGUGCCGCAGCUCCUGGAAACGAGAGAGGGGAUCUCCAAGGCUGAGACUGCUCACCCAGUCUAGAGUGCCCCCUAUGGUUACUCAAGGAAACAUCAUUCCACCUAAGAGGAACGCUAAACAGAGGUCCAUAGAUGGAUUUGGUCCUUCAACGCUUGAUUCCAUCCCAGAGGCACCAGAUCUACCCAGCAACCUGCACCAACCGAAUAAACCCCACAAUAUCUCCCUUCUGGGAAACUCUCCUAAUAGGACAAUGAUCCUGCAGAGGUACAAGGAGCUGCAGGGCUCAGUGAGGAGUGUGGUGCCCAACAACAGCAGGAUGCCAACCCCUGGAGAGUUGCCCCAGGGCAUCGUAAGGUGACAAGCUGUGACAUAGAACAGAGGUCCACAACCACCGGGCCGAGGACUGUGCUGAACCGGCCACCUCUGGUACCAAUUACCUUUGAUCCCAACUCCAUGACAACUACUAUGUGAAGCCCAGGGAGCUUUCUACUGAUCACCGUCUACAGCAGCGGGUCACAACCUGUGGGUCGGGACCCCCUUGGGGGUGGAAUUACACUUUCACAGGGGUGGCCUAAUACCAUAAAACACAUAUUCCCGA